rnacentral:lncRNA from 1 species
AACAACUUCACCAGACUCUAAACAUCCUAGUUAAGGCUGCAAACAGGAGAAACACGAACCAAACGAGACCCAUGACCUACACCGGUGAUGUAACUCUACCAACAAGCCCACAACCACCGAGUAUGAAGCCAACAACACCUCAAUUCGCCGGUUCUCCAACCCAAUGAGAGCAAACGAGGAUUGAUCUGAACCUUUAACCACACAAAACUACUCUCUCAAAC